AUUGAACGCUGGCGGCAGGCCUAACACAUGCAAGUCGAGCGAGCGACGGACGGGUGAGUAAUGUCUGGGAAACUGCCCGAUGGAGGGGGAUAACUACUGGAAACGGUAGCUAAUACCACAUACCAUCAGAUGUGCCCAGUUGGGAUUAGCUAGUAGGUGGGGUAACGUCCCACCGAGGCACUGAUCCCUAGCUGAGCUGAGAGGAUGACCAGCCACCCGGGAACGGAGACACGGGCCAGACUCCUACGGAAGGCAGCAGUGGGGAAUAUUGGACAAGGGGCGCAAGCCUGAUGCAGCCAUGCCGCGUGUGUGAAGAAGGCCUUCGGGUUGUAAAGCGCUUUCAGCGGGGAUGCGGUACCCGCAGAAGAAGCACCGGCUAACUCCGUGCCAGCAGCCGCGGUAAUAC
rnacentral:rRNA from 1 species